rnacentral:tRNA from 1 species
AAUCCGUCGACUUUCUAAAUCGUGAGGGUUCAAGU